CCCACCUGGUUUCCAUACAAUCACCAGAGUUAAGCAAUGUUGAGCCUGGUCAGUACCUAGAUGGGUGACCACCUGGGAAUACCAGGUGCUGUAA